rnacentral:rRNA from 1 species
CCUACGGGUGGCAGCAGUGGGGAAUAUUGCACAAUGGGGGGAACCCUGAUGCAGCGACGCCGCGUGAGUGAAGGAGUAUUUCGGUAUGUAAAGCUCUAUCAGCAGGGAAGAAAAUGACGGUACCUGACUAAGAAGCCCCGGCUAACUACGUGCCAGCAGCCGCGGUAAUACGUAGGGGGCAAGCGUUAUCCGGAUUUACUGGGUGUAAAGGGAGCGCAGACGGCAGUGCAAGUCUGGAGUGAAAGGCGGGGGCCCAACCCUCGGACUGCUCUGGAAACUGUAAAGCUGGAGUGCGGGAGGGGUAAGCGGAAUUCCUGGUGUAGCGGUGAAAUGCGUAGAUAUUAGGAGGAACACCAGCGGCGAAGGCGGCCUACUGGACCGUAACUGACGUUGAGGCUCGAAAGCGUGGGGAGCAAACAGGAUUAGAUACCCUUGUAGUC